rnacentral:rRNA from 1 species
UAGCACUUAUCCGUGGAACUGCGAAUGGCUCAUUAAAUCAGUUAUCGUUUAUUUGAUAGUACCUUACUACUUGUGAUAACCGCUGGUAAUUCUANAGCUAAUACAUGCUAAAAACCCCNACUUCNGGAGGGGUGUAUUUAUUAGAUAAAAAACCAAUGCCCUUCGGGGCUCUUUGGUGAGUCAUAAUAACUUAACGGAUCGCAUGGCCUUGCGCCGGCGACGGUUCAUUCAAAUUUCUGCCCUAUCAACUUUCGAUUGUAGGGUAGUGGCCUACAAUGGUUUCAACGNGUGACGGGGGAUUAGGGUUCGAUUCCGGAGAGGGAGCCUGAGAAACGGCUACCACAUCCAAGGAAGGCAGCAGGCGCGCAAAUUACCCAAUCCCGACACGGGGAGGUAGUGACAAUAAAUACUGAUACAGGGCUCUUUUGGGUCUUGUAAUUGGAAUGAGUACAAUUUAAAUCCCUUAACGAGGAACAAUUGGAGGGCAAGUCUGGUGCCAGCAGCCGCGGUAAUUCCAGCUCCAAUAGCGUAUAUUAAAGUUGUUGCAGUUAAAAAGCUCGUAGUUGAACCUUGGGCCUGGCUGGCCGGUCCGCCUCACCGCGUGCACUGGUCCGGCCGGGCCUUUCCUUCUGGAGAACCGCAUGCCCUUUACUGGGUGUGUCGGGGAACCAGGACUUUUACUUUGAAAAAAUUAGAGUGUUCAAAGCAGGCCUUUGCUCGAAUACGUUAGCAUGGAAUAAUAGAAUAGGACGUGCGGUCCUAUUUUGUUGGUUUCUAGGACCGCCGUAAUGAUUAAUAGGGAUAGUCGGGGGCAUCA